rnacentral:pre_miRNA from 1 species
UCAGUCCGCUGCCCUUUUAUGACACUGACCCCUCAAUGCGGAUGUAUAACUGGAGAUACCGCAUUGUGGGCAGUGUCAUCCAAGGGCUGAGAAUGAG